UUUGUUUUGUGCUCUGUUGGACUUUCUCUAAAGGACUCUCUUACCCUGGGAGGGGUUGAACCCUUGGAUGCUGUUUGUCUGGAGGCCCAAGUCAUCGCUCUGGCCAGGGUGGGCUGCAGAGCGUGGUGGGAGGCUGAGGCAGAGUAGCUGCAGUGCCUCACUAUGCUGUGAGACGCGUGCUCUGAGAUGCUGAGUUUUGUACAGAAGCAUUUUAAUUGGAGGGAAGACUUUAACUGGAUCAUUUGUAAACAAGAACUGUUCUAAGUCAAACUCAGCCCUGGGACAAGCAGGUGCUGCUCCACUGAAAAUGGAACUGGAUCCCCCCUAUACCAAGACUGAAUUUGGCUCAGUUACUCAACUUAAACAACAAGGCAUUGAUGUUCUUCCCAUAUUGACUAGGCCUGACUUUCAGUAACACCUGAAGGAGUUGAGUGCACACCAAAGAAGAAGCCUCUGCAUAUAUCCCCCAAAGCAGCUGUCUGAAGACUACAUGGAUGUCUGCUGUUCAGUAGAUUUUAAAGUCCAUUUAAUUCAAACCAAAGUCUGGUGUGACUAGUUACUGAAAUCCUCAUUUACACACCUGUAGUUCCUCUGCUGUGGAAACAUCCAGUCCUGUUAGGUCCUGUAUCCUCAGGUUAAUGCGAGAUACCACAGGGCUUUCAUAUCCAGACAACCAGGCACUAAAUUAAAAAAGGAAAAUGAUUUGCUAGUAACAUACCACAAGCUUGUGUUAUAAGUGGAACAGAGUUUUAUAAUUUCUAAAAUGUGCAUAAAGACUUAGAGCCAUCUGUAGACAAUUGUUUAGGCUAAUACUAUAAUUACUGGCAUUGCCAGGUCCCACAUUUGUGAGGCUUCUCUUACCAGAGAUGACCUUUGUAACUUUGGUAAUAUCAGCGUCUUGAAUAAGGCACCUAGUUUCUAUAAGGGGCUAGGAAGUGAUCAAAGGAACCAUAUUUAAACUUUUUAAACGAGGUAUGGAGAAGACAAAUCACAAUGUUAUCCCGUUUGUUCCGUCCAUUCUUGAAAGACAAGCAAUGUAAAAAUAGCGACUGUAUUCAAAGACAUUCACCUGUAUGACAGAAGCAGCUACCCACAAUUACUCUGUGAAGCAAAAAUAAUCUACAGACCAUAAUAUGAAAACUGCUACAUCACAGAAUUUCCCGACCAGUUUUACAAUAUAUUGUGGAUCUAGUCUCUUAACAACAUACCCAGUUCAAGAAGUCGCUUGGUGAGCAUCAUUGCUUUGUCCAGGUCCCCCUGCUGAUACACAGCAUAACUCAAAUAAUCUAGAACGGAGACUCUGUCAACAGUAGACACCUCUCCAUCAUCAAGCUGUUUCAGAGCUUGCUCCAUCCACAGCUCAGUAUGAUAGUAAUCUGCCUCAGUGUAUGCAAUCUUGCCCAAUUCAAAGCAAUCUUCAGCUGUUAAGAAAGACUUGUGCUUUACACCUAUAGAAAGCAACAGACAGACAAGCACAAGGUCCUGGCAGCAGAAAGCCCAUCAGAGGAAGAGAAAGUGAUGAAGAAAAACAGCUACAACAUACUCACCACCAAAGAACUGAAGGAAAGACCAACACACCCAAAAAGUGAGCCUGGGAGGAAGUGUGGGUGGGGCACAUAGUGUUUCAGUACAUCACUCAGCAGUUUUUGCCGUGUCCCUCCCCAUCAGAAAAUCCCAAGGAAGUGCUAUGGUACCAGUGCUCAUCCUGCCUUGAGUAGAGUGUUCUCUAGGGUACAGGCUGACACUGGGAGAUGUGACUUACAACUCCCUGCAGCAGUUCAGUUUACAUAAACUUGUGUGCUGUGGGCCAGGUUAUCAGAGACUGGCUGAAGACUAGGAAAGUCUGGGUUUUUUCCUAUUGUUAACAGCAUGCUAGGCGCUUUAUAGACAGGCAUGAAGAAUAGACUCCUCAAAAGGGUUUAUAAUCUAGAUAUUCUGUAACUGCACAGCUAUUUUUCCAAACUAGCUCAGGUGCUUCUUACCCGGA